UGGGGAAUUUUGGACAAUGGGCGAAAGCCUGAUCCAGCAAUGCCGCGUGUGUGAAGAAGGCCUUCGGGUUGUAAAGCACUUUUGUCCGGAAAGAAAUGGCUCUGGUUAAUACCUGGGGUCGAUGACGGUACCGGAAGAAUAAGGACCGGCUAACUACGUGCCAGCAGCCGCGGUAAUACGUAGGGUCCAAGCGUUAAUCGGAAUUACUGGGCGUAAAGCGUGCGCAGGCGGUUGUGCAAGACCGAUGUG
rnacentral:rRNA from 1 species